rnacentral:rRNA from 1 species
ACCCGCUGAACUUAAGCAUAUCAAUAAGCGGAGGAAAAGAAACCAACAGGGAUUGCCUCAGUAACGGCGAGUGAAGCGGCAAGAGCUCAAAUUUAAAAGCCGACGUAGCUUUAAGAGACGUCCGCAUUGUAAUUUGAAGAGGCAUUCUCGGGUCGGGGCUCAGGCCUAAGUUCCUUGGAAGAGGGCGUCGUGGAGGGUGAGAACCCCGUUCGCGGCCUGCUGUCGACCUUUCCCCGAUCCACACGAGGUGCCAUCGAAGAGUCGAGUUGUUUGGGAAUGCAGCUCAAAGCGGGUGGUAAAUUCCAUCUAAAGCUAAAUAUUGACGGGAGACCGAUAGCGAACAAGUAGAGUGAUCGAAAGAUGAAAAGCACUUUGGAAAGAGAGUUAAACAGCACGUGAAAUUGUUGAAAGGGAAGCGCUUGAGACCAGUCACGGACCGAGGCGAUCAGUGGGACGUCCCUCUCGGGGGAGGAACCGCGCACUCGCUUUUCGGGUUUUCCGGGUCAACAUCGGUUGGGACGGUGUCAGAAAGGUCGCGGGAACGUGGCUCCCUUCACGGGGAGUGUUAUAGCCCGUGGCGUCAAAGUCGCCAGUUUCGACCGAGGACCGCGCUCGUCUUUUUCGAGCAAGGAUGUUGACGUAAUGGUCC